UAUCCGUUGGUGAACCAGCGGAGGGAUCAUUACCGAGUUUACAACUCCCAAACCCAAUGUGGACCAUACCAAACUGUUGCCUCGGCGGGGUCACGCCCCGGGUGCGUCGCAGCCCCGGAACCAGGCGCCCGCCGGAGGGACCAACCAAACUCUUUCUGUAGUCCCCUCGCGGACGUUAUUUUUACAGCUCUGAGCAAAAAUUCAAAAUGAAUCAAAACUUUCAACAACGGAUCUCUUGGUUCU
rnacentral:misc_RNA from 1 species